AUUGUAUUUAAAAAAUCCCCUUUUUUUUUUCAGGUGAAGAAGCGACUAUGGUGAGCCAGCUCUCCACGUUGAUCCCAGUCUGAUUUCCUUCUGCUGUUCAAUAUACCUUUUCUUGCCAGUAAUUGGCAUUUGUAUGUUAAAAAUGGGAACUAAUUCUGAAAUUAGCUUAAGAUUUGAACAUUGCUCAUCUGGUGAUAGUUCCACCCUUCUUCGCGCAAGGAGGGGACUCUGCGGGCUCUUUUCCACACCAGAUAGUGGACAGUCAGCCCUACUCGAGGCUGAAUCGGCGCCCUGGAGGCCACCUUCCGCCUUCACUGCUGUGUCAUCACCCUCACCAGGCACUUCCCACCCUCUGCCUGGGGUCAGGAACAGGAAACUGCAUUCCUGAAAUCUGCCCUUCCAAGUAUAUUUGUUGCUCUGUGGUGGUAGCAGUAAGUAGCAGGAGGCUAGACAUUAAAAAUGGAAUUUUCUUGGUGAA